AGGAAAUUGAUGGGCCUGCAUCUGUGAAUGGAAGGCUCAGUAGGAUUCUAAACACGUGAUUGGAAGAAUACACUCUACCCACAUUGUGCAUCAUUUUAACCAAUUUGUGAAGCUAACUCACAUGUCCGGAUGUCAGGAUUGCGUUGAAGAUGGACAUCCAGCACACUAAAUACCUCACCUGUCUGAUCUGUCAGUCAGCAGAGCUGGAGACAUGUGAUGGGAUCUGGCAUGCCUGGAAGAUUACCUAGAAAGCAGGAAUGGACGGAGUUGGUGCAAGGGCAAGUGAAGUUGGCACUGGGAGUCAGGAGGUGCACAGCUAUCCAGCAUCCUUAAUUUCAGCAACAAGUCAGCCAUUCUCAGAACAACUAGAAACAGCCUAACUUGACUGGGGGCAGGGUGAAAGUGGAAGGAGAAAGCCCCCCCCCCAUUUCUUUCAGCAUGUGGAAGAAGCCUUUCCAAUGCCUUACCUAAACAGCAGAGACUUCUAGAUUUCACAAGCAGCCAUGCAGUCUGCUUAAAGUGCUGCCUUUUUUCUUUUCCUUCCCCCAACUGACUGGUACCAGCUCUGGGGGAUGCCAGCUCUAUCCUUCGGGGGAUACCGCAUUUCCUUACCCCGCUGCUGCUGCCACCAUGUUAGCACAAAACUCUAGCCCUCUGCCCAGCUGUUUCCCCCUGCCCACUGCCACC